rnacentral:rRNA from 1 species
CGUAGGGUGCGAGCGUUAAUCGGAAUUACUGGGCGUAAAGCGUGCGCAGGCGGUUUUGUAAGACAGAUGUGAAAUCCCCGGGCUCAACUGGGACCUGCAUUUGUGACUGCAAGGCUAGAGUACGGUAGAGGGGGAUGGAAUUCCGCGUGUAGCAGUGAAAUGCGUAGAUAUGCGGAGGAACACCGAUGGCGAAGGCAAUCCCCUGGACCUGUACUGACGCUCAUGCACGAAAGCGUGGGGAGCAAACAGGAUUAGAUACCCUGGUAGUCCACGCCCUAAACGAUGUCAACUGGUUGUUGGGUCUUUACUGACUCAGUAACGAAGCUAACGCGUGAAGUUGACCGCCUGGGGGAGUACGGCCGCAAGGUUG